ACCACAGAAGAAGAAAAGCGGAUUUCCUUCAGUAUUUAUUAGACAACAUAAUACAGAUCCAACAAUGAUCAAUAUCAUGAUUUUUAAAAGCAGAAUAAAUAUAGUAAAGACAACAGAGAGAAAUAGCUGAAUAAAAACAUCCUCUGACAUCAUUGUUUCAACAGGAAGUAAACUGGAGUGAUGUCAUCAGAAACAGCACAAACACAAGGCUUCAGUGACGUCAAAAUAAAAGACUAAGGUGUGAACUCACCUGAGUGAAACAGGUAAUAUGAAUUUAUUAAUAUACAGUUAAUAUGUUUGAACGGUAAGAAAAUGAAAGAAUUUUAAACCUAAACAAGUUUAUUUCAUUUCCUCUUGAUAACUAUUUAUUUUCACGUAGCGGAGUCCUUAAAGUUUUAUUUUCUUAAAAUCAAUGAAAGAGUAAUCAACUUAUUUAAAGUAUCUUUAAUCUUUUAGAUAAACUGUUGAGCUGCUUUUAUCCUCCAAACAAUAAUAACCAUGAAUCUUCCUCUUUGAAUUAAGUUUGAAAUGAUUUGAUUAUAUGGAGAUGAUUUUGUUUUUGUUCAACAAACACGUUUUGGGACUUUUCCGACCACAGAGGUUCUCUUCUUACCUGGUAGAUCACCAUGGUAACUGAUGCUGAUCACCUGACCUGCUCCGGAGCAGGUGAUGUUGGUGACCAAAGCUCCGCCUACUGACCAAUCAGAGCCCUUCACGUAGAUUGUUAGAUUAUACAACACAAAUAUGAAGAAGUUAAAUAAUCCAGAAUAAAAGAGAAUAAAUCAGAGACUGUGUUUAAAUCAACAGAUUUAUUAUUAACAUAUUAUUUUAACAGAAUACACACGUGUGAUUAUAUUCACAUCUGAGGUCUCUGGAUGAAGCAGGGAUUUUAUUGAUCUGUUGAUUUAAACACAUCCACAGUCAGUGAUUUAAAACUGUGUUUAAGAUGUGUUUCUCUUCAUCUGGAUUAUGCGUUUAUCAGGAAAGAUUAUCUUAUCUUAACUUCUUCAUAUUUCAUAAGGUGAGUCAGGUGGACAGGUGGAGGUGAGUCAGGUGGAGGUGAGUCAGGUGGAGGUGAGUCAGGUGGACAGGUGGAGGUGAGUCAGGUGGACAGGUGGAGGUGAGUCAGGUGGACAGGUGGAGGUGAGUCAGGUGGACAGGUGGAGGUGAGUUAGGUGGAGGUGAGUCAAGUGGAGGUGAGUCAGGUGGACAGGUGGAGGUGAGUCAGGUGGACAGGUGGAGGUGAGUCAGGUGGAGGUGAGUCAGGUGGACAGGUGGAGGUGAGUCAGGUGGAGGUGAGUCAGGUGGACAGGUGGAGGUGAGUCAGGUGGAGGUGAGUCAAGUGGAGGUGAGUCAGGUGGACAGGUGGAGGUGGGUCAGGUGGAGGUGAGUCAGGUGGACAGGUGG